rnacentral:misc_RNA from 1 species
GUAUUGAAUUUUAUCAAUUAACAUUCUUUUACAGUGUGUGUGUGUGUGUAUAUAAAGCAAACAUAGGCCUUGAAAGCCUACAAAAAGUGCACAUGUGGUGUGUAGAUGACAAGAGGCGUGCACAUAUCUAAAAGAUCAGCUACAACCCCCUUCAAAAUUCGAUAAUGAUCCUUCCGCAGGUUCACCUACGGAAA